AUUGAACGCUGGCGGCAGGCCUAACACAUGCAAGUCGAGCGAGCGGCGGACGGGGGAGGAAUGUCUGGGAAACUGCCUGAUGGAGGGGGAUAACUACUGGAAACGGUAGCUAAUACCGCAUACCAUCAGAUGUGCCAAGAAGGGCUUAGCUAGUAGGUGGGGGAAGGGCUCACCUAGGCGACGAUCCCUAGAUGGUCUGAGAGGAGGACCAGCCACACUGGAACUGAGACACGGUCCAGACUCCGACGGGAGGCAGCAGUGGGGAAUAUUGCACAAUGGGCGCAAGCCUGAUGCAGCCAUGCCGCGUGUGUGAAGAAGGCCUUCGGGUUGUAAAGCACUUUCAGCGAGGAGGCGUUACUCGCAGAAGAAGCACCGGCUAACUCCGUGCCAGCAGCCGCGGUAAUAC
rnacentral:rRNA from 1 species